rnacentral:pre_miRNA from 1 species
GGUUUGAGGAGUUGGAUUACGCCCUCUGACACCUCCCGAUGGAAUGCAACCAUCGAGGGUGCAGAGACAUUCGGAGUGAACUG